ACAGAAUUAAUGUGAGUAAGCAAGCAAAGUUUGGAAUCAGAAAUAGGGUUCUCAGUUAACAUAGUACCAGCAAAGUUUGCAGCAUAUAUUGGAGGAGGAGUUUGAGCAGUGGAUUCCCCCAACUUGGUCUGGUGUAAUAAGUUCAUCAAUUGGUCAUAAUCAUGUCUGCUCAACCCUGGUAUCGUAGAGCUUUGGCCAUACACAGAUUGAUAGCUAGCAGGAGGAUUCCCUUGAGGAACAGACAACAGUCCAUCAGAAAU
rnacentral:lncRNA from 1 species